UAACUUCAUAUUAUCGUUCUGCAAUAGU
rnacentral:sRNA from 1 species